rnacentral:lncRNA from 1 species
GACACUUAACUAGUUAUUUUAUAAUCAUAAAUCCAACAUCAAAGGAGACAUACAUUGCUUAUAUUUUUGCUGGCUCUCUUUCUUUAUUGACGCUCAUGCUUUUAUUUGUGAAUUUGAUUUUUUUGCAGGAAGAAAGCUUGGAGGAUCUAUGAGGAUUACAUUAACUUGUGCUAUAUAUUCUAAACUUUUGAAGCUAAGCCAGGUUACAAUAAGUAGUGUCACUAUGGGACAUGUGAUUAACAUUGCUUCAAAUGAUGUUCACAGAUUUGAUGAGGGCAUAGUGUAUUUUGCUUUCUUUGUUGCAUGUCCACUUCAUGUUGGAGCAGUGACUUAUUUACUCUAUGGAAGACUCCAAUGGGCAACAUUUAUACUACUAGGACUGCUACUAUCACUAAUCCAACUUCUAAUUACUUUUACUCAAGGCUAAGGUUUAAAGCAGCUAGAGUAACUGAUAAUAGAGUUAAAGUGAUGAAUGAAGUCAUCAGUGGAAUUAGAGUCAUUAAAAUGUACGGCUGGGAAUAUGCUUUCAGUAGACUAAUAGCAAGAAUAAGAAGUUUUGAAGUUGAUUGAAAGUACCACCGACAAUACGUUAGCAUCUAUUGAACCAAAGCAAGCCUCAGUAUUAUAUUGAUGGACUUGAUCCUGAUUGACAAGGUCCAAGAAUUGUACAAGAUAUACUUGCAAUACAAAUCAUAUGUAGAACAAAGGUUUAAGAUACUGUAUGAGAUGGGGCAGUUAGAACAAAAGAGGUAAUUGUAUU